UCCUGGCUCAGGAUGAAAACGCUGGCGGCGUGCCUAACACAUGCAAAGUCGAGCGAUUUACUUCGGUAAAGAGCGGCGGACGGGUGAGUAACGCGUGGGUAACCUGCCCUGUACACACGGAUAACAUACCGAAAGGUAUGCUAAUACGAGAUAAAAUACUUUUAUCGCAUGGUAGAAGUAUCAAAGCUUUUGCGGUACAGGAUGGACCCGCGUCUGAUUAGCUAGUUGGUAAGGUAACGGCUUACCAAGGCGACGAUCAGUAGCCGACCUGAGAGGGUGAUCGGCCACAUUGGAACUGAGACACGGUCCAAACUCCUACGGGAGGCAGCAGUGGGGAAUAUUGCACAAUGGGCGAAAGCCUGAUGCAGCAACGCCGCGUGAGCGAUGAAGGCCUUCGGGUCGUAAAGCUCUGUCCUCAAGGAAGAUAAUGACGGGUACUUGAGGAGGAAGCCCCGGGCUAACUACGUGCCAGCAGCCGCGGGUAAUACUAGAGACACGACGAC
rnacentral:rRNA from 1 species